rnacentral:rRNA from 1 species
GAUGAACGCUGGCGGCGUGCCUAAUACAUGCAAGUCGAGCGAACAGACGAGGAGCUUGCUCCUUCGACGUUAGCGGCGGACGGGUGAGUAACACGUAGGUAACCUACCUAUAAGACUGGGAUAACUUCGGGAAACCGGAGCUAAUACCGGAUAAUAUUUCGAACCGCAUGGUUCGAUAGUGAAAGAUGGCUUUGCUAUCACUUAUAGAUGGACCUGCGCCGUAUUAGCUAGUUGGUAAGGUAACGGCUUACCAAGGCAACGAUACGUAGCCGACCUGAGAGGGUGAUCGGCCACACUGGAACUGAGACACGGUCCAGUCUCCUACGGGAGGCAGCAGUAGGGAAUCUUCCGCAAUGGGCGAAAGCCUGACGGAGCAACGCCGCGUGAGUGAUGAAGGUCUUCGGAUCGUAAAACUCUGUUAUUAGGGGAGAACAAACGUGUAAGUAACUGUGCACGUCUUGACGGUACCUAAUCAGAAAGCCACGGCUAACUACGUG